rnacentral:snRNA from 1 species
GCCUUCGGGCAUUUGGUCAAUUUGAAACGAUACAGAGAAGAUGUAAGGAACCCCAGUUCGAAUUCGCACGUAACCAACUAACAUUGUAACAGUAGCAUGGCCCCUGCACUAAGGAUGACACGCUUAAUCAAAGAGAUGCAACCAAUUUUU